GGAGUUAGCCGGUGCUUCUUCUGUGAGUGAUGUCCUUCCUGCCGGCUAUUAACCCGCAGGCCUUCUUCCUCACUGAAAGUGCUUUACAACCCGAAGGCCUUCUUCACACACGCGGCAUGGCUGGAUCAGGGUUGCCCCCAUUGUCCAAUAUUCCCCACUGCUGCCUCCCGUAGGAGUCUGGGCCGUGUCUCAGUCCCAGUGUGGCUGAUCAUCCUCUCAGACCAGCUACGGAUCGUCGCCUUGGUGAGCCGUUACCUCACCAACCAGCUAAUCCGACAUAGGCUCAUCCGAUAGCGCGAGGCCCGAAGGUCCCCCGCUUUCCCCCGUAGGGCGUAUGCGGUAUUAGCCUGGGUUUCCCCAGGUUAUCCCCCACUACCGGGCAGAUUCCUAUGCAUUACUCACCCGUCCGCCGCUCGCCACCAGGGAGCAAGCUCCCCGUGCUGCCGCUCGACUUGCAUGUGUAGUCGUCGCCGCCACGCGUCAUACUGACCAACGAUACAACUUACUCGA
rnacentral:rRNA from 1 species